GACGAACGCUGGCGGCGUGCUUAACACAUGCAAGUCGAACGGUAAGGCCCUUCGGGGUACACGAGUGGCGAACGGGUGAGUAACACGUGGGUGAUCUGCCCUGCACUUCGGGAUAAGCCUGGGAAACUGGGUCUAAUACCGGAUAGGACUCCGGACUGCAUGGUCUGGGGUGGAAAGCUUUUGCGGUGUGGGAUGGGCCCGCGGCCUAUCAGCUUGUUGGUGGGGUGAUGGCCUACCAAGGCGACGACGGGUAGCCGGCCUGAGAGGGUGACCGGCCACACUGGGACUGAGAUACGGCCCAGACUCCUACGGGAGGCAGCAGGGGGGAAUAUUGCACAAUGGGCGCAGGCCUGAUGCAGCGACGCCGCGUGAGGGAUGACGGCCUUCGGGUUGUAAACCUCUUUCAGCAUCGACGAAGCGAAAGUGACGGUAGGUGCAGAAGAAGGACCGGCCAACUACGUGCCAGCAGCCGCCGUAA
rnacentral:rRNA from 1 species